rnacentral:misc_RNA from 1 species
UUUAAUUUCACAUUUUACGCAUCUACAAAAAGAGAGUUAAAUAUUCCGGUAAGACUGACAGAGCAACCACAACUGCAAGGGGAUUAGGGUUUCAGAUCUCAGCAAAAAACUUGCCGGAAAAAUGGCGUUGAGGAACUUCUACAAGGAGAUAAAGGGAUUGAAGGUGAAGGAGGUUCCGGGGUACCUAAAGCCGAUGCUCUCAGUCGGUUACGCGAAGAAUGCUAUCAGGAAGGGUUUGGAUAACUACCAUGCUAAGUACAUCGAAACCAGCUCCGUUGAUCCUCUUCUCCAUGUAUGCUUCGGAGGCAUGAUAUUAUCCUAUCUCGUCGCCCUUCCAAAUGAGCGACGUCACCUCGAGCAUCAACAGCACGGCGGCGGACAUUGAUUGUCCCUCCGAUUUUCUAAGAUUGAUGAUACGGUGAAGGACAAACAUCUAUCUCUGUUGGUUGCUUUUACCCUCUUUUCAGUAAUUGGUGUACUCAGUGAGGCUCAGUUGUGCAAUACUUGGCUUAUUUAUUUGGUUUAAUAAAAUGUAGUCAAAUACUUCCUCUCUUUGCCUGUGGGCGGUAUAACGUGUGCCUUACCAAACAGAGGCUGAAUUUGCUUUUUAUGUGAAUCAACGUAUUUUGUUCUUCUCCG